rnacentral:rRNA from 1 species
ACGUUAGCGGCGGACGGGUGAGUAACACGUGGGUGACCUACCUAUAAGACUGGGAUAACUCCGGGAAACCGGGGCUAAUACCGGAUAACACAUGAAACCGCAUGGUUUCAUGAUGAAAGACGGUUUUGCUGUCACUUAUAGAUGGACCCGCGGCGUAUUAGCUAGUUGGUAAGGUAACGGCUUACCAAGGCAACGAUACGUAGCCGACCUGAGAGGGUGAUCGGCCACACUGGAACUGAGACACGGUCCAGACUCCUACGGGAGGCAGCAGUA